rnacentral:tRNA from 1 species
GGGAAUGUGGCUUAGCAUUUAGAGUGCUUGCCUUGCAUGCAUGAAGCCCUAGGUUCAAUUCCUCACUACCA